rnacentral:rRNA from 1 species
UACGUAAGGUGGCAAGCGUUGUCCGGAUUUACUGGGCGUAAAGGGCGCGUAGGCGGUCAGCACAAGUCAGUUGUGAAAUCUCCGGGCUUAACUCGGAAAGGUCAACUGAUACUGUGCGACUAGAGUGCGGAAGGGGCAACUGGAAUUCUCGGUGUAGCGGUGAAAUGCGUAGAUAUACGGAGGAACACCUGCGGCGAAGGCGGGUAGCUGGGCCAACACUGACGCUGAUGCGCGAAAGCUAGGGGAGCAAACGGG